rnacentral:rRNA from 1 species
GGUUAAGUGACUAAGCGUACACGGUGGAUGCCUUGGCAGUCAGAGGCGAUGAAGGACGUAGUAACUUGCGAUAAGCUCAGAUUAGGCAGUAACAGCCACUUGAGUCUGAGAUUUCCGAAUGGGGAAACCCAACUGCAUAAGCAGUUACUGUUAACUGAAUACAUAGGUUAACAGGGCGAACCGGGGGAACUGAAACAUCUAAGUACCCCGAGGAGAAGAAAUCAACCGAGAUUCCGAUAGUAGCGGCGAGCGAAAUUGGAUUAGCCCUUAAGCUUUACAUGCGUCAGGUGAAGGUUCUGGAAAGGACCGCGAAACAGGGUGAUAGCCCCGUAGCCGACAGCGCAUGUUCAGUGAAAUCGAGUAGGGCGGGACACGUGUUAUCCUGUCUGAAUAUGGGGGGACCAUCCUCCAAGGCUAAAUACUCCUGACUGACCGAUAGUGAACCAGUACCGUGAGGGAAAGGCGAAAAGAACCCCUGUGAGGGGAGUGAAAUAGAACCUGAAACCGUGUACGUACAAGCAGUAGGAGCCUCUUCGUGGGGUGACUGCGUACCUUUUGUAUAAUGGGUCAGCGACUUAUAUUCAGUGGCAAGGUUAACCAUUUAGGGGAGCCGUAGGGAAACCGAGUCUUAACUGGGCGUUCAGUCUCUGGAUAUAGACCCGAAACCGGGUGAUCUAGCCAUGGGCAGGUUGAAGGUUGAGUAACAUCAACUGGAGGACCGAACCGACUAAUGUUGAAAAAUUAGCGGAUGACUUGUGGCUAGGGGUGAAAGGCCAAUCAAACUCGGAGAUAGCUGGUUCUCCCCGAAAGCUAUUUAGGUAGCGCCUCGGACGAAUACUACUGGGGGUAGAGCACUGUUAAGGCUAGGGGGUCAUCCCGACUUACCAACCCUUUGCAAACUCCGAAUACCAGUAAGUACUAUCCGGGAGACACACGGCGGGUGCUAACGUCCGUCGUGGAGAGGGAAACAACCCAGACCG